rnacentral:rRNA from 1 species
GCGGCGCGCUUAAUGCAUGCAAGUCGAGCGAUGAGGCCUUCUUCGGAGGGCACAUCAGCGGCAGACGGGUGAGUAACACGUGGGUGACCUGCCCUUGAGACGGGGAUAACGGAUGGAAACAUGCGCUAAUACCCGAUAGGGUCCCAGGGUCAAAGCUGGGAUGAAAGCUUUGGUGCUCAAGGAGGGGCUCGCGGCCCAUCAGCUAGUUGGUGAGGUAACGGCUCACCAAGGCGAAGACGGGUAGGGGGUGUGAGAGCACGGCCCCCCACAAUGGGACUGAGACACGGCCCAUACUCCUACGGGAGGCAGCAGCAGGGAAUAUUGCACAAUGGACGGAAGUCUGAUGCAGCGACGCCGCGUGGAUGAUGAAGGCCUUCGGGUUGUAAAAUCCUUUACGGGGUGACGAGGAAGGACGGUAGCCCCGGAACAAGCGUCGGCUAACUACGUGCCAGCAGCCGCGGUAAGACGUAGGACGCAAGCGUUAUCCGGAUUUACUGGGCGUAAAGCGUCUGUAGGCGGAUGAGUAAGUUGGGCGUGAAAGCUCCGGGCUCAACCCGGAGAGGCCGUUCAAUACUGCUGAUCUAGAGGAGGCCAGAGGGGAGUGGAAUUCCUGGAGUAGCGGUAAAAUGCGCAGAUAUCAGGAAGAACACCAGUGGCGAAGGCGGCUCCCUAGGGCCCACCUGACGCUGAGAGACGACAGCUAGGGGAGCGAACAGGAUUAGAGACCCUGGUAGUCCUAGCCGUAAACGAUGGAUGCUAGGUGUAGGGCCGUAGAGGCUCUGUGCCGGAGCGAACGCGAUAAGCAUCCCCGCCUGGGGAGUACGGCCGCAAGGCUAAAACUCAAACGAAUUGACGGGGACCCGCACAAGCAAGCGGAACGUGUGCGCUAAUUCGAUACUAACACGAAGAACCUUAACUGGGUUUGACUUGGGCCGUGGAAUGAAGCGAAAGCGGAGCGACCCUUCGGGGAGCGUCCACAGGUGCUGCAUGGCUGUCGUCAGCUCGUGCCGUGAGGUGUCGGGUUAAGUCCCGUAACGAGCGCAACCCUUGCCCUUAGUUACA